AGGUGACUAUGAUUUGGGUCUAGCCAAUGGGGCUGAUCAUUGGCCACACAUCAGAAAUAUAUUUCUUCCAGACCUAGCCAAGCGGGCUUGAUCGCUGGUACACGUUGAUGCGUCGCAUAUAUAUAUAUUAGAGCUAGUCUCUUUACCUUGUCAUGGGAUGAAUCAUAGCUGUGUGAAUCAGAGCCAAUUUCUUUCAGGCCUAGCUAGUCGGGG
rnacentral:lncRNA from 1 species